CAAAACAUAGGAUUUGAAUUGUUGGUGGGGGCUCAUAGUGAAGCCCUUGAGUCAAUACUCGUAGUUGAAAAUUCAAGCAGAACAACUCAAGAACCAACAGCUGAUGGCGAAUCCAACAAAGACUUCGAUUCUACAGCUGAACUUCCACCUAGAAGGCAUGACUCUGAGCAUGAUCUAUCCUUGGAGAUAUCAGAGAAGGAAGGGAGACUGGUGCAAGAUGAAGAACGAGAAAAAGGAAGCAUUGGAAAAGAAGUUUAUUGGUCCUACAUAACAACAGUGAAGGGCGGAGCGCUAAUCCCGAUAAUUCUCAUUGCUCAGUCCUCAUUUCAGAUACUCCAAGUAGCCAGUAAUUAUUGGAUGGCAUGGGUUUAUCCUCCAGAUAGUGAUACUGAACCAUUGUAUAAAAUGGAUAUAAUCCUUCUUGUUUACGUACUGCUUGCUGUUGGAAGUUCACUCUGCGUACUUCUUCGAACAAUGCUUCUUGCGAUAACAGGAUUAUGGACAGCAGAGACACUAUUCAUGAAAAUGCUUUACAGUGUAAUGCGGGCUCCAAUGGCAUUUUUUGACUCAACCCCAACUGGAAGGAUCUUAAACCGGGUGAGCAACAUACUGCACCUGCAUUUUAAGUUUGUCCUCAUACAUAAACAUCAAAAGUGAUAGCAAGCAUGAUUAUUACCUUUUUUCCAUCAUCCUUUCAGUUUCUUGAGAAGCAGAUAUAUCGAGUGUAUAAGCAACCACAAUAUCAGACCCAAGCAAUUAAAAUGUCACUUAAGAAAAUGUAUUUGCUUAUCUGCAACUCUCAAAGAUUAACUUACACCUGUACUCAGAUUGAAAUAGUAUUGCCUGUCUCAAUAGAAAUGUGAAAAAAUGAAAACAGUUUUUCAUAAAAUUUGCUCCUCUUCUUUUCUUUUUUUUCGCAUCUGUACUAUAUCUUUGAAAAGGUUAGGUAGUGUCGACCCCUUGACUGAGGGUUCUACAUGAACCCUAUCAAACAUUCACGACAAAUUCUUAAACAUUUCACAGUACAAAAAAUACUCUACAGAAACAACUAAAAGACUGAUUAAAAUCAUUUCGAUCCUGGAUUACAUUAAAUUGGAGUAUUUUCCAUUGCCGAAUAACUUCCUUCAACCGCAACUAAAAUGCAAUGCCUUCUAACAUGCCAUCUUAUCAUAGAUUCUACACAUGCAAAUAUCUACGCCUGAUAACUUAGGAGGUACAAAGGCUGAUGUUGGUGUUCUGACAUUGAACCAUAAUGUACGCAGGCAUCUACUGAUCAGAGUGUGCUAGACUUGGAAAUGCCAAUGAGAUUAGGUUGGUGCGCUUUCUCCAUAAUACAGCUUCUAGGAACAAUGGGAGUGAUGUCGCAGGUAGCAUGGGAAGUAUUUGUGAUCUUCAUCCCUGUGACUGCAAUAUGUAUAUGGUACCAGGUAACAAACUCCAUUCCUGAUAAUAGUUGCACAAUUCUUCCUAGGACAGGUUGCUGCAAGCAUGUCAAGCAUACUGGCAAUACUAUAGUCCAUUUAAAAUUAGCCUUCCAAACACUAGUUUCCAUAAUUUCCUACAGGAAAUGGUGUUGGUCACGGCCCUACUUUAUAAUUUACUAAAAAAUUCUGUUUUCAUCAUUCCAGCAAUACUACAUUCCAACGGCCAGAGAACUAGCCCGCUUAUCAGGGAUUCAACGAGCUCCAAUUCUACACCACUUUGGAGAAUCACUAGUAGGAGCAGCUACAAUUCGUGCUUUUAACCAAGAAGAUCGAUUCAGUGAUGGAAAUCUAGGGCUUGUAGACAACCACUCAAGGCCAUGGUUUCAUAAUGUCUCAGCAAUGGAAUGGCUUUCGUUUCGCCUAAAUCUUUUGUCUAACUUUGUCUUUGCCUUUUCAUUGGUUUUGCUGGUAUCCCUCCCAGAAGGAAUUAUUAAUCCAAGUAAGUCAUGCAAAUAUUCUCAGAAUAUGUCCCUACAGCAAGAUUAUAAAUAGUAUGUACUAUGCAUAUCACGCACGUUUCGUUUUUAUUCAAAUAAUAUCAGACAUCUGCUAGAAUCAACAGUAAAUAACAAUUAAAUCUCAAACUGAAUAAUAGUCAGACAGUAUAAUAUCCUCUGUACCAAUUCAAGCACGGUCUAGUAUGAAGGACAUAUUAGAACAGGAUAUAAACAGGAAACAGUUGAAAGAUAAUAAAUUUUGUUUUGCAGGCAUAGCAGGGUUGGCUGUAACAUAUGGAAUUAACUUAAAUGUACUUCAAGCUUCUGUUAUAUGGAAUAUAUGCAAUGCCGAGAACAAAAUGAUCUCAUUCGAGAGAAUACUUCAGUACUCAAAUAUAGCAAGUGAAGCAGCUCUAUUAAUAGAAGACAGCAGACUUCCAAGCAACUGGCCAGAAAUGGGAAUGAUCUGCUUCAGAAACUUGCACGUAAGCUAAACAUCAAAUUCUGACUUCCCAUAUCCGAACAUUAUUUUGGACUAUUCUGCAUGACCAAUGGAGAAGUUCUCUACAAUUGCUAUCAAUCUCACUCUCAUUCUCAGGAAUGCCUAUGAGAUGUAUUAGACUCACUGACACAUUUACUCUUGCAGAUCCGAUAUGCUGAACAUCUCCCAUCUGUCCUCAAAAACAUCACCUGUACAUUUCCUGGCAAAAGAAAAAUUGGUGUAGUAGGAAGGACUGGGAGUGGAAAAUCAACUCUAAUACAGGCCAUCUUUAGGAUAGUUGAGCCCAGAGAAGGAACCAUUAUAAUUGACGGUAUUGACAUAACCAAAAUAGGCCUUCAUGACCUUAGAUCAAGACUCAGCAUCAUUCCACAGGACCCUACAAUGUUUGAAGGAACAGUAAGGGGGAACCUUGACCCAUUGGAGCAACACUCUGAUAGAGAAGUAUGGGAGGUAUAACUUCUUUCCCCCAAAGCUUUGUCUCAUUGAUGACUUUAAGUAAAAAAGGAAUUCGGAAAUAAAGAUUAUUUAGCAUGAGAAGAUAUCAUCAUACGAGCCCAAGUGAUAGAAAAAGCACGUGUAUGCUCACACAGUCACAUUCUACCAGAUUAAUAUCGUUGACCCAAUUUGAAAAGUAAAUAGAUUUUGCCACAACCAAGUACAGGGAAUUACAAGCAACUUCAUCAUGUUUUACUAACCCACAAAUUUUCUCUCUGAGACGAUCUAUAAACACAAAGUUGUGCAUUCCCCUGACUUGGAUCUGCUUUGAAUAUCAUGAUGACAGAAUUUCUGAUCUUACAGGCUCUAGAGAAAUGUCAACUUGGUGAUAUUGUCAGAGGAAAGGAAGAAAAGCUAGAUUCCGCAGGUUUGAUCCAUUAACCACGUCUUUCAUGCAGAGUUGCAAGUUUUGUGAAAAUAAAUUUACUAAUCUUAUUUUUCCUAACAGUUGUGGAGAACGGAGAAAACUGGAGUGCGGGCCAAAGGCAGUUGUUCUGUCUUGGUAGAGCCUUGCUGAAGAAAAGUAGUAUACUUGUACUCGAUGAAGCAACUGCAUCAGUUGAUUCUGCUACUGAUGGCGUUAUCCAAAAGGUCAUUAGUCAAGAAUUCAUGAACCGCACAGUGGUGACAAUAGCUCACAGAAUCCACACUGUCAUAAACAGCGACCUUGUCUUGGUUCUUAGUGAUGGUAGGGAAUAAAAUCUUUUUCCAUGAACACUCAUUCUCUCUUGGCUAAACAUUGCUAUGUUAGGAUUGAUACUGAAUAGCUCCUUUCAUUUUUUUGAUCGAACAGGAAGAAUAGCAGAAUUUGACACACCCACAAGAUUACUGGAAAGAGAAAAUUCAUUCUUCUCCAAGCUCAUAAGGGAGUACUCCAAGAGGUCACAAAGUUUCGGCAGCAUAGCACACCUAAAUAGCUAAACCAGGCAGUGACGGCAUCAAAGGGAACGGUGUCAAGGCAGAUGUGGGGGUCCUACGAUUGCAUCAACGCUAUCAGUUGCAAAUGUCGCGGAAAUGCUCGGGAUCAACAUGGGCACAUCGAACACAAGAUCAAUAAUCUGCCAAAUGAACGGAGCUUCUGAGUUAGGAUUUGGCCAGCAAUUAUUUUUAUGAUUAGCUAUGAGCAGACACCUCAUUGUCAUUGGAAUUGUUUUUAUUUAAGUGAGUAACGUGAGAAAAGUUAUAAGAAUUUCAAUAAGAGAAGAGAAAUACGCUUUGCCGAGGCAGCAUUGAGCCACAUGAUCAUGAAGAUGUGGUUCAAUAGUUAAAAUAUUCUAACAGUCUCACCAACAUGUAGGUUAAACUUCUGCCUAAAACUAAGGUUCAAUUUGUUUGAUAAAAGCCAUUUGCACAAUAUUAUUUUUGGAUUUUCCACUUUUUGGAUGACAAAAUAAUCAAUAGGCAAAAAGCAUUUUCCAUGAGCUGAAAACAACUCUCUUAGAUUGGGGAAAAUGGCUUCCCCUUCUUGAAAUCGUUUUCCUUUAAUGAUUGAGAGGGAUACACACUUUUGAAGUUUAGAAAUUUCUUCAGUUUAAUUUAUGUUUGGCGUGUACUAGAUCAAACAUUGCUAAUGUAAUAGGAGCUAUGAGCAGACAUGGCUAAUCCAUGAAUAAAGCACUAAGGUGUUAUAAAGUGGCUAUUAAAUACCUUAGAUGUACUUUUUUUUUCUUUUUUUUUUUUACCUUUUUUUACCUUAGAUGUACUUUAGGUGUGUUACUUUGUUUCAUCAAAAAUAGUAUAACUUCAUAAGGCUUUGUUGAUGCAAGCCUUGGUGGUGACAUGAAUAAUAAGAAGAGCACUUUGGUUAUGUUUUUAAUUUAGGCACGUUACGGUCAAUUGGAUGUAUAGAUUUUAGAUGUGUGCAUCCCUCUCAACCACUACAAUAAAGUGUUUCGCUACAUAUGAAGUUGGCAAGGAGAUAAUUUGGUUGAAGAUCAACCAUUACAAUAAAGUGUUUCGCUACAUAUGAAGUUGGCAAGGAGAUAAUUUGGUUGAAGAUUUUGUUAGAGGAAAAAGGUAGGAGCAAGAUAGCAAUUUUUAUUUAGUGAUAUUCAUAGCACUAUCUUGUCUUGCAAAGAAUCUGUCUUUUCACUCAAGGAUUAAGUAUAUGGAGUUGAAGUAUCAUUAUAUUCUCCAUUUGCUAGAUGGCACAUCGUGAAGAAGGUUCUUGGUGCAAAGAAGCCGGCAAAUUGGCUGUCAAUAUUGAGAAACUAAGGUUGUGCAUUGCUUCAAUUGGCCUUUAUGGUUUAAAAUAAGGAUGUGCCUCUACACUAGGACAGUUUGGGUUACAAAGGCAAGGGAAAAACUAGGAGAGACUAUUGAGUUUUGAAAAUCAGCCUCCAAAUCGGAGAUUGAUGAAUUUGUAGAGUCUGCUAGAGGAAUUUAUUGCUAAGGGUAUAAAUGUAAUAUAUGUCCUAGACUUCUUAUAUAUAUUAGAGAAAUCUCUUUCACGGUUGUACCUUGACACUGAAACCAAUAGUAAAAAGAUUGCUUAGUAUGGCCCGUGAUUUUUUCCUUUACUGUUUUUCAAAGGAUUUUCCACAUAAAAAUUCACUUGUCUUUUUCUCAAAUUUUUCCUCUUUUGCAUUACACGCUCCUAACAUUGAGCCUAAGCAAGAGCAUCGCAACUGAAGCAAGUAAGCGGAUAUAUACACAAUCAGUUUGCUUGUGACGAUGAAUCGCAUUGUCCCCAGAAUAAGUGUUCAUAUCUAUUCAUGCACGCUCACUUGUGUUGCCCCUAAAAAGAAGACAUGUCCAGAUGUGGAUCCUUUAUCUCUCAUAGGUGUCUCAACUCGUCGAUCGUGUUGAUUCUUACCUCAUUUUCGUAUGCAUCCACAGAUGAGAAGUGGUCGAGACAUUGACAAGAGCGCCAUGCCGAGCUGAGGAUCCUCAUGGAAUGCGUACGUUCAUGCAUUGUGUCCGCCUAACGUGUGUUCUUUUUUAUGUUUCUGUGUUCUGUCUUGCGUUUUGAGCUUUGGCAACGUUCUUGCAUAUCGAGUACAUUGCCGAUGAAGUGAAACGUUGUAGCCCCGUCACCUUCUAACAAAAUGUGAUUGUUUCGCGAGAAAAGCAAUCCGACUUUCGAGUUAAACAUGGAGGCAUCUUUCAAUACGAUCAGCUGGUCGGCGGUGAAUCCGACUACGCACAAGAUGGUUUCUCGUGUUCCCAUCGCUCGAGACAGCUGCUCUUGAACAGCUGAGAGUUACUCCCAAGACAGUCCCGGAGUGUCCAAAAUGAUGGGGAUUUUCGAGACAGAGAUCCUCUAUUUACUCAUUACAUCUCAAUCAAGAAGGUAUGUAUAAUAGAAUGAUCUGUAUCGCGAAGUUACUUAGAAAUUGAAUAGUAAACACAUUCGUGUUGUCAUUUAUUGUACCUGAGAGGGGUUGGAAGCCAGAAUUUUGUUUGCAAUGGAAUAUGGACACUUUUGAGAUCUUUACAAUGGCCAGAAGUAUAUGUAACAUCGUCCAACAUUGCCCUGAAAUUUCGAAGUCAUGGUCCAAUGGAUGCAAUUCCAAAUAAUCAUGAUGUACAAAUAGAACGACUCAUAUCGCAAAGUUACUUAGAAAUCGAAUAAUAAACGUAUCAGUGUCAUCAUCCGUUAUGCCUAAGAGGGAUCGGAAGCCAGAAUUUUGUUUGCAAUGGAAUAUGGACACUUUCGAGUUCUUUGUAAUGGCCAGAAGUAUAUGUAACAUCGUCCAACAUUGCCUUGAAAUUUCGAAGUUAUGGUCCUAUUUGGAUGCAAUUUCCAAAUAAUCAUUAUGUUAAUUUGGGAAAGCAUUGAUUAUUUUUACCCUAUUUAGAUUCUUUUUGUCUUUUUUGCUACAAAGUUUUAUUUCACUAAAUCAUUCUACCACUCACAUGUUCCGACAUGAAUCCAAUAAUUCUCGAUCAAACGUCAGAUUUACGUCUUUCAACAAUUGCGAUCCAUUUGGUUCAUAUGCCCCCAUUGAUGCAAAUAUUGGUAGGUGCUCUCAGCGACGAGCAUAUACGAGUUCGCACGUGCAGGUCAUUAGUCAAAUUCAUCAAUAUGGUAUCGUACGUGUGGAAUGACUAUGGAAAUAUUAGAUUUGGCCCGACCAGAAGUUGGACGAACCUGGACCACCUCUUUUUCGGUACGCUAAUUACUUAUGAACCGUCGCUAAUAACUUUUACAACGCUCCACCACGUAGCCUCAAGCAUGCAUUCAUUGACUAACUUCAAACAUGCAUUCAAUGACUAACUCCAAACAUGCAUUCAAUGACUGGCUGAGAAAACUUUGGACUAGAGGAUUCACUUCAAAAACAACUGCAAGCAGCGAAAGGCAGGAUCAUUCGUUCUGGGAGAGAACAAUUUUCAGGUGAACUCAGUGUCUGUCUUCUCUCUGGUGAGGAUGGCCGUUCUAGGAAUCGAUCUCGGAUCUCAUGGUAAGUCUCUUCACCCUUGAAAUUUUAAUUUUCCUGGUUGAGUUCGAUGGUACGUCAGUCUAUGCUGCGUUGUGCUAAAGUUUGGUACACGAGAGGCUUUUCUCUAGGAUAGGGUUUUGAAUAGGUCAUUAGGCAUGUGCUUGUGUAGCCAUGCCUAUCUGCAGAUGAGAGUAAUUAGUUCUUUGAAAACUUGAAAGGGAAGGCGUGAACCUGAUAUUGAUUUCUGCUGAUGAACGAUAGAUGCACCAGCACGGUGUAUACUCUCAAUUCAAAUGAUUCCUGAAGACAAGCCUGACAUGGAAGGAACCAAAGAUACAGUUCCCUAAUUAACAGUCCUCUUUUGUGUGUCGUUGUUUUACAACUGCAUCGACAAGGGGAACGCCAAAAUCAUGAAAAUUAAUGUUCUGUGUCUUUGGAAAACACUGACUGCACUCCACAUCCACAAGCUAGAACACAAUAAUGGUGGACCAAACAUUGCCAGUUUCAUUGCAGAUGAAACAAAGAGCUCUUUUGUUUGAUAAUUUAGCUGAGUCAAUUUAGCGUAUUAAUGAAGUUCGCACCUGAAUGUGAGCUUAAACCUGCGUGUCCUUGCAAAACAGAAUUGCAGAUUCUUCAGGAACUUCAGAGAGCAUGGCCAAAGGUGAACUCACCUUGCCCAAGGGAGCAAGUCAGCAUCAUUUUGCAACUCGGCUUCCUUGGAACCCUGCUACUAGUUUCCUUGGGAAGAUUAGUGCAUCUUCUGGGAAACAGGAGCAACACCACGGAUCAGGCAACUGACAGGCACAUGAUAUGUCACAGGUCCAGCAUAAUAGACAAAUCCAGCAUUGUCUGCACAACGUUAUUAGUGGGAACACAUCUGUUAAUGCUAUUAAUGUUGACAAAUGGCAACGAUGCCUCAUGUCUUUCCACAACUCAAGCAUUUUCAUCGGAGAUCAUGCAAGUAGUAUCCUGGGCAAUUACACUCAUAGUACUGUGCAAGAUAUGGAGGGAAAAGUAUAUGAAGUUCCCAUGGAUUCUAAGGGCAUGGUGGAUGUGCAACUUCCUCUUAUCUCUUUUUUGCACAACUCUCGACAUCAACUAUAUAAUUACGUCCCACAGCCACUUGAGGACACGAGACCUGGCAAACUUCAUAUGUUUGCUCGCCUCCACUGGACUGUUUAGCAUUUCCAUUCGAGGAAAGACAGGCAUGGUCUUCUCGCAUGCCAAUGGCAUGGGGGAACCGCUUCUUUCUGAAGAAGUCGAGAAACGUUCAGAAUCCAAAAGGGAAUCUCCAUAUGGGAAAGCUACACUCUUGCAACUCAUUACCUUCUCUUGGCUGAACCCAUUAUUCGCCACAGGGAUCAAGAAGCCCCUCGAGCAAAAUGAUGUGCCCGAUCUAGACAUCAAGGAUUCUGCAGCAUUUAGUUCUCGUUCUUUUAGCGACUGCCUAAAGCAAGUCAAGGAUAAAGACGGAGCCAAAAAUCCAUCCAUCUACAGAGCAAUCUUCUUUUUCAUCCGAAAGAAAGCGGCAAUCAAUGCACUUUUUGCGGUAGUAAGUGCCAUAGCAUCUUAUGUUGGUCCAUACCUCAUAGACAACUUUGUCAAUUUCCUAACCGACAAGAAAAGCAGGAGCUUGGAGAGUGGCUAUCUUCUAGCAUUAGCCUUUCUAGGUGCCAAAAUGGUCGAGACAACAGCACAGAGACAGUGGAUUUUCGGAGCACGCCAACUAGGCCUUCGGCUUAGAGCUGCUCUGAUAUUGCGUAUGUACAAGAAGGGACUGGUUCUGUCGGGCCAAUCUCGCCAAAGUCACACCAGUGGAGAGAUCAUCAACCACAUGAGCGUGGAUGUCCAGAGAAUCACAAAGCUCACGUGGUACUUAAACACAGUAUGGAUGUUACCCAUACAAAUCUCAUUAGCCAUCUACAUUUUGCAUAUUAAUUUAGGUUUAGGGUCUGUCGCUGCACUAGUGGCAACAUUCACUGUUAUGGCUUGCAAUAUACCUCUGACGAGAACUCAGAAAAAAUAUCAGUCCAAGAUCAUGGAAGCUAAAGACAGUAGGAUGAAAUCCACAUCAGAGGUUCUUCAAAACAUGAAAACCGUAAAACUUCAAGCUUGGGAUAAUCAGUUCCUCAACAAACUAGAGAGCUUGAGGAAAAUAGAGUACGAAUGGUUAUGGAAGUCACAACGACUGGGAGCACUAUCAGGAUUCAUCUUCUGGGGUUCACCCACUUUCAUCUCCAUCGUGACUUUUGGCACAUGUAUGCUAACGGGCAUUCAACUUACUGCUGGCAGAGUCUUAGCAGCCCUGGCCACUUUUCGAAUGUUACAAGAUCCCAUAUUUAGUCUUCCAGACUUGCUCAAUGUAAUUACACAAGGUAAAGUUUCUGCGGACAGAGUUGCUUCUUACCUGCAAGAAGAUGAAAUUCGACAGGAUGCAAUCGAAUAUAUUCCAAAGAAUCAAACACAGUUUGAUAUUGAGAUUAUCAAUGCAACAUUCAGCUGGAAUCCUGACUUGAUUACACCAACUCUGAGCAAUAUCGAGGUGAAAAUUAAGAGAGGCAUGAAGGUGGCGAUCUGUGGGAUGGUAGGAUCAGGGAAGUCAAGCCUUCUGUCAUGCAUCCUAGGAGAAAUAGAUAAGCUCUCUGGCCAAGUGAAAAUCAGCGGUACAAAAGCUUACGUUCCGCAGUCUCCUUGGAUACUGUCAGGGAAUAUAAGGGAUAACAUUCUAUUUGGAAAUCCAUAUGAUCCCAACAAGUAUGACCGAACAGUCCAGUCAUGUGCUUUGAUCAAGGAUUUUGAGCUGUUUUCAGCGGGCGAUCUCACGGAGAUUGGAGAAAGAGGCAUCAACAUGAGUGGAGGGCAAAAGCAAAGGAUACAAAUUGCACGUGCAGUUUACCAAGAUGCUGAUAUAUAUCUGCUCGAUGACCCUUUCAGUGCAGUGGAUGCUCAUACAGGCACACAACUCUUUGCAGUAAGUUCUAAAACUCUCUUGCAAGAGUAAUGUUAUGAUGAUGGAUAACAAAAUCAGAUCCUAGAACGAUGUUUCACAUGCUUUACCACAAAAAUUUGCAUACUGAGUUUAUUCCCUGUAGGAUUGCCUGAUGGGAAUGCUCAAAGACAAGACAAUACUCUUUGUCACCCACCAAGUCGAAUUCCUUCCUGCAGCAGAUCUCAUUCUGGUAAGUGAACUUCACAAAAAGUAAUUCUCCAUUUGACAACAGGGAACUUUCAGAAAGAACAGAUGUUUAAUUAAAUAGACUGACAUCUUCUGAAAAUAACUCUGAGAAGAAUUUGACAAUUGACUCAACUUGAGAAUCUGAAAGUCCACAGAUCACGGUAUUGAACUUUCAUCUUUUGCUCCAGUUAAGCAACGUCUAAUCUCAUAUGUUGAUAAAGCUACUGUGGAUCUGUAUGUCAACAGGUGAUGCGGGAUGGAAGAAUAGCACAGGCUGGCAAGUUUGAAGAUCUCUUAAAACAGAAUUCAGGAUUUGAAGUGUUGGUGGGCGCUCAUAGCAAAGCCCUUGAGUCAAUCCUCACAGUUGAAAAUUCAAGCAGAGCAACUCAAGAACCAACAGCUGAUGGCGAAUCCAACAAAGACUUUGAUUCUGCAGCUGAACUUCCACCUAGAAAGCAUGACUCUGAGCAUGAUCUAUCCUUGGAGAUAUCAGAGAAGGAAGGGAGACUGGUGCAAGAUGAAGAACGAGAAAAAGGAAGCAUUGGAAAAGAAGUUUACUGGUCCUACAUAACAACAGUGAAGGGCGGAGCGCUAAUCCCGAUAAUUCUCAUUGCUCAGUCCUCAUUUCAG
rnacentral:lncRNA from 1 species